UUUAACUUGUCGCUCACUCCGUUAAUAUUUCGUUAAAUUAUAUACAAAAAACUUCAGAUACUCCACCUAGGUUUAUCGAAUAUUUACUUUAGUACUCUUUAGUUUUAACUUUAUCACUGAUUUAAUGAAAAAAAAAUUAGUGGAAUCGAUAAUAAAAAAAUAAAAAUGAAACCACCGGACACUAAAUUGAUACAAUUUAAAUCACAAGGUAAUAAAGUGAGAAAGUAUGAAACCACAGAGAUGGUAUUUGAAGUUUUUUUUUUAUAUAUAAUUUGAAUAUAUUGUAUUUUCUAAAAGAAAAAAAUAAAAAUACACUGUACUUUUAUUCGAAUUUUAGAAAAGACUCAACCUAAACAAAUUUGUUGGUCAAUACUAGUUAGAGUGCACAUGAGAAAAUCUCCAGUGAUAUAAUAUAUCUGCAGUUUUAUUAGAAUUUAGUUAUUAUUCUUUUUCCUGAUUGAGGCGAGGUGAGUAGUCCAUCACCAUGACGAGAAUCAGUCGGCACAAUGAGUUAGUCUGUUGUGAGAGUUUAUAUAUUUAUAUAUAUAUAUAUAGAGAGAGAGAGAGAGAGAGAGAGCUAGAAUACUUUCAAAAGUACCAAGGGAGUGGUGUUUUUGUGUUUUUAGCCAUUAAAUGGAAAGAUGUAGGAUUAAGAUGAUGGUGGUAGGUGGUGGUAGCUAGGUGGAAUAGUGUUAGAUCCAAAGACUAUUAGUAAUCAAGGACUAGAUCCAAUGGCUAAAACUCAAAAGCAUCACCCUAUUGGUGCUUUUGAGAGUAUUCUAGCUCAACUCUAUAUAUAUAUAUAUAUAUAUAUAUAUAUAGAGAGAGAGAGAGAGAGAGAGAGAGAGAGAGAGAUAGUUGGGCUAGAAUACUAUUAAUAGUAUUUGUUUUUUUUUUUUACUAUCAAGUUUUUAGCCUUUGUGUCGGAUUGUUGGUGCUAACCAUUAAUCUCAAAAGCUCGAGCUGUUAAAAAUACAUAACCAAUUCACUUAAAGCAUACGGAUAAAUCCCACCCCUUGUAAUAUACUAGCGUAGUAACCCAAUCAAUGCGACGAAUAGAUAAUUGAAGAAAAUAUAUAAAAUAUCGAUAAAAAAAAGAAAACAACAAUAAAAAAUUGUGAUGAUAAGGGGUGGGAUUUUUCUUGUCGUUCACUCUGUUAAUAUUUCGUUAAAUUAUAUACAAAAAACUUCAGAUAUUCCACCUAGAUUUAUCGAAUAUUUACUUUAGUACUCUUUAGUUUUAACUUUAUCACUGAUUUAAUGAAAAAAAAAAUUUAGUGGAAUCGAUAAUAAAAAGAUAAAAAUGAAACCACCGGACACUAAAUUGAUACACUUUAAAUCACAAGGUAAUAAAGUGAGAAAGUAUGAAACCACAAAGAUGGUAUUUGAAGUUUUUUUAUAUAUAUAAUUUGAAUACAUUGUAUUUUCUAAAACAAAAAAAUAAAAAUACACUGUACUUUUAUUCGAAUUUUAGAAAAGACUCAACCUAAACAAAUUUGCUGGUCAAUACUGAAGGAUCAAAUGGCAACUAAGAGGGGGGUGAAUUAGUUGACAACUAAAAACUCAAGUAAAAUUAAAUCCAGAUAAAAAUUGCACAACCAAAUAAAAGAAAAAAAAUCAAACUCAGAUAACACAGAUGAUUUAUUCUGGUUCGGCCCUUCUGCCUACUCCAGCCUGGUCCUUCUUCUCCUCGAGGUACCGAUUUCACUAUCACUUGGCCUUUUGAAUAGGGUAAGACCAAAGCCGCUUACAAUCACACAAAACUUCUUUUACAAUCUCUCAAGAAGCUCACAAUUACAAAUCAAUGAACAAUUAGGACUUAGAGAAUUUUUUUAAAGUUGUAUACAAACAACAUCCAAGCCUUCCUUUAAAUACACUAGCCAUCAUUUCAAAAAUGAAACAAAAGCAUAAUUAAAUCAUAAUUGAUUUU
rnacentral:lncRNA from 1 species